UUCAGAUAUUUAUCCAAUAUUUGACAUAUCUAUAUCCAAUUUUAUUUAUAAGAAAUAAAAACAAAUUAAAAUAGGACUUAUUUACUAUCUAACCAAAUUUGGAAGUCAAAUUAAGUAGAAAAAUAAUUAUGAAGAAUCUAACAUUUACACCCAAAAUGAACCGGUUAUACCCUUCUCAUUCGCAAUUACCCGGUAAACAUGUUGUAUCAUAAAUAAUAUAUGGUCAAUAGUGACUGAAAGCUAUUCCAUAUGAAAGAAGGAGACAUCCACGUUACACGUUUGUUAACCACGUACAUAUGUACUAGGUGUUAUAUUCCAUAUCGUCGAAGUAGUAUAGGACUCAAACCACACCCACAAUCCUUAAAUACAAAAUACUACCCCAAGCCCAACUCUUAAAUACUAAAUCCUAAACUGUAAUAUAGAUAAAAUAGAAGACUUUUUAAUAAAUAGUGUAUUUCAAAUCAUUGAAAUAGUAUAGGAUUCUAACUCCACCCACGACUCCUAAAUAGUAAAU
rnacentral:lncRNA from 1 species